UACGAAGGGGGCUAGCGUUGCUCGGAAUCACUGGGCGUAAAGCGCACGUAGGCGGAUCUUUUAAGUCAGGGGUGAAAUCCUGGAGCUCAACUCCAGAACUGCCUUUGAUACUGAGGGUCUCGAGUCCGGGAGAGGUGAGUGGAACUGCGAGUGUAGAGGUGAAAUUCGUAGAUAUUCGCAAGAACACCAGUGGCGAAGGCGGCUCACUGGCCCGGUACUGACGCUGAGGUGCGAAAGCGUGGGGAGCAAACAGG
rnacentral:rRNA from 1 species